GGCAUGAUUUUCUCCCUUUUGAAAGGUGCAAAUAAAUUGGAUCGUGUGUCGACAUGAGAGCGCCAAUAACAGGUCUUGCAAGGUGUCCCGUGGUCUGAGAGUCGUGGGUAGCAGCCAGUGCUUUGUACCCAGUUUCUUGUUGUGAAGAUGUAUGUGAUGGAGACUGAUACUGAGCACAGAAAUGAUGGGAGUGGGAAAUGGUUUAGGAGAAGACACUGUAGUAGUAAAUGGAAAAGGAAAGGAGAUUGGAUUGGAUUUUGAAUCUGCC